rnacentral:tRNA from 1 species
ACCAGGAUGGCUGAGUGGUUAAGGUGUUGGACUUAAAAUCCAAUGGAUGUAUGUCUGUGUGGAUUUGAACUCUACUGUUAGUA